rnacentral:rRNA from 1 species
UAAUACGUAGGGUGCGAGCGUUGUCCGGAAUUAUUGGGCGUAAAGAGCUCGUAGGCGGUGUGUCGCGUCGGUCGUGAAAACUUGGGGCUUAACCCUGAGCGUGCGGUCGAUACGGGCAUCACUUGAGUUCGGCAGGGGAGACUGGAAUUCCUGGUGUAGCGGUGAAAUGCGCAGAUAUCAGGAGGAACACCGGUGGCGAAGGCGGGUCUCUGGGCCGAUACUGACGCUGAGGAGCGAAAGCGUGGGGAGCGAACAGGA